UACGAAGGGGCUAGCGUUGUUCGGAAUCACUGGGCGUAAAGCGCACGUAGGCGGACUUUUAAGUCAGGGGUGAAAUCCCGGGGCUCAACCCCGGAACUGCCUUUGAUACUGGAAGUCUUGAGUCCGAGAGAGUGAGUGGAACGUCCGAGUGUAGGGUGAAUUCGUAGAUAUUCGGAAGAACACCAGUGGCGAAGGCGGCUCACUGGCUCGGUACUGACGCUGAGGUGCGAAAGCGUGGGGAGCAAACAGGAUUAGAUACCCCUGUAGUCC
rnacentral:rRNA from 1 species